rnacentral:rRNA from 1 species
AAUAUUUGUCAAUGGACGCAAGUCUGAACCAGCCACGUCGCGUGAAGGAAGACGGCCCUACGGGUUGUAAACUUCUUUUGCAAGGGGAUAAAGUGGGCCACGCGUGGCCUUUUGCAUGUACCUUGCGAAUAAGGAUCUGCUAACUCCGUGUCAGCAGCCCCGGUAAUACGGAGGAUCCGAGCGUUCUCCGGAUUUAUUGGGUUUAAAGGGUGAUCAGGCGGGGGAUUAAGACGGCAGUGAAAUUUGACGGCUCAACCGUAAAAGUGCCUUCGAAACUGGUUUCCUUGAGUGUGGAUGAGGUAGGCGGAAUUUGUAGUGUAGCGGUGAAAUGCAUAGAUAUCACGAGGAACUCCGAUUGCGCAGGCAGCUUACCAGGCCAUAACUGACGCUCAAGCACGAAGGCGUGGGUAGCAAACAGG